AUGGAUUAAGAGCUUGCUCUUAUGAAGUUAGCGGCGGACGGGUGAGUAACACGUGGGUAACCUACCCAUAAGACUGGGAUAACUCCGGGAAACCGGGGCUAAUACCGGAUAAUAUUUUGAACUGCAUAGUUCGAAAUUGAAAGGCGGCUUCGGCUGUCACUUAUGGAUGGACCCGCGUCGCAUUAGCUAGUUGGUGAGGUAACGGCUCACCAAGGCGACGAUGCGUAGCCGACCUGAGAGGGUGAUCGGCCACACUGGGACUGAGACACGGCCCAGACUCCUACGGGAGGCAGCAGUAGGGAAUCUUCCGCAAUGGACGAAAGUCUGACGGAGCAACGCCGCGUGAGUGAUGAAGGCUUUCGGGUCGUAAAACUCUGUUGUUAGGGAAGAACAAGUGCUAGUUGAAUAAGCUGGCACCUUGACGGUACCUAACCAGAAAGCCACGGCUAACUACGUGCCAGCAGCCGCGGUAAUACGUAGGUGGCAAGCGUUAUCCGGAAUUAUUGGGCGUAAAGCGCGCGCAGGUGGUUUCUUAAGUCUGAUGUGAAAGCCCACGGCUCAACCGUGGAGGGUCAUUGGAAACUGGGAGACUUGAGUGCAGAAGAGGAAAGUGGAAUUCCAUGUGUAGCGGUGAAAUGCGUAGAGAUAUGGAGGAACACCAGUGGCGAAGGCGACUUUCUGGUCUGUAACUGACACUGAGGCGCGAAAGCGUGGG
rnacentral:rRNA from 1 species